rnacentral:rRNA from 1 species
CGCGUGGGAACGUGCCCCAAAGUGAGGGAUAAGCACCAGAAAUGGUGUCUAAUACCGCAUAUGGUCUUCGGAUUAAAGCUUCGGCGCUUUGGGAGCGGCCUGCGUACGAUUAGAUUGUUGGUGAGGUAAAGGCUCACCAAGUCGACGAUCGUUAACUGGUCUGAGAGGAUGAUCAGUCAGACUGGAACUGAGACACGGUCCAGACUCCUACGGGAGGCAGCAGUGAGGAAUCUUCCACAAUGGGGGCAACCCUGAUGGAGCAACGCCGCGUGAAGGAUGAAGGCCCUCGGGUUGUAAACUUCUUUUAUGAGCGAAGAAUAUGACGGUAACUCAUGAAUAAGGGUCGGCUAACUACGUG